GCUGCCUAUAGCCCUGAUCUUGCACCGAGCGAUUUACACUUGUUCCCGAAAUUGAAGCAACACCUGGGUGGACAACGCUUCGCUACGGACGAAGAGGUCCAGAAUGCAGUCACCACGUACCUCAACGGGUUGGCGGCGGAGGUUUUAGAGGCAGGAUUUCAAAAGUGGAUUUCUCGACAGCAAAAAUGUGUAGAAAAAUUUGGCGACUAUGUAGAAAAGUAGCUAAGAGACCAAGCUUUCAGAUAGUGUAAUUCGCAAUUUCAAUAAAAAAUGUCUGACACCUGAAAAAAAUGUGGGAACCUUACUUUUUACUUGACCCUCGUAUUAACAAAAAUAUUCCAAAUGCCAAGUCUCAUUAAAUAAUGUAUUUUUUUUAUUUACCUAUUUUCAUGUUUUAUGCUUAUGUUUUAUGUUCCUAUUGUAAAAAAUUAUAAAUAAAAUUUAAUCCUAUUUCUUUAUAAUACCUAUGAGCGUAUCUGUAUUUUGCAUGCGGCGCGGCGUCGCGUCGUAAAGUGAUAGACUUUGUAAGGUAAAAGGAAAAAUUAGUAUAAGCAACCUCUACCGUGUUUCGACGCGCCGUUUUCGUUAUAAACAGAUGUUGCUGCAACCAAGAGAAUCUGUAUACCCUUUGAGUUACAUUAUAAUAUGAAGAACGAUUCAAUAAAAGCGCCUUCUCCCAUAUCCGAAAAUAUUGCUCUAAUUGGAAAGAUAUGCCUCAGAAUCAAUCCAUCACCAAACAUGGCUAAUAAAAUAUAUCAAUUUUUUAAUAUAAGAGAAUAAACAAUUCAUUCAUGACUAAAAACUGUAAACUUAUUCUCUUUUUAGAUUAGAUUAUUAAGAAUUUGUAAAUAAAUGAGGAUUGUUAAUAUAUUUUGAUUAUUAUAGAUU